GGAAAGCUACAGAAAAAGCAUUUAACACCGCAGGAGGUGAACAACAUGUUGGCUGCUGCCUCCACAGCCCGGCCCAGCACUGAUCUUUUCAGAACCUUGGGAGACAAAGGUCUGAUAUCCUACACAGAGUAUCUGUUCUUGCUGACCAUCCUAACCAAGCCCCGUACAGGAUUUCAUAUAGCCUUCAAGAUGCUUGAUGUAGACGGCAAUGAGCAAGUGGACAACAAAG